rnacentral:lncRNA from 1 species
CCUUGCCAAGAGGUAAACUUGGUAGUUAUCUUUUCCUUUAAAAUAGUUUGCUUAGUUAAUCAGGUUUAUAUCAUCUUGAAAAGAAAAUAAAAAUGUUAAAAAUAGUAAGCCCCAUGUGAGUAUGCUCAUGGCAUAAAACCCAUAAGUACAUUCACUAUGGUGGCAUAAAAAUAAAAUAAAUAUAUUCCUGUCCUAUAAUAAUAAAAAUAUAAAAAUAAAUUUAUGAUCCUACUAAAGAGAGUAACAUUUAUUGAGGAGACUCAACAUGAUAAAGGCUAAAUAUUUAUGCUAACACUUAACUAGUUCCACAAAGCUUUGUUGUCUAUUUGAGCUCCAAAGAAUUCAAGGAUCAAAGAAAGUCUAGCAGACGGAGGACAUCCUAAUCGCUGUCAGAGUGUUGCCGACAUUCAAAUACACCUCCGCCACCUGCUAGCUACAUCAGAAGAAAUUAUGUCAAAAUCCAGCUUGGGGGAGAGCACCCCCAUUUAUCCAGCUAAGUGUUCUACUCACGUUUAUACUUUACUCGAAUAAUAAAAAGAUGCAUAAUCAUAAAAACACAAAUAAAGAUUUUGUGCUUAUAUAUAUAUAUCUUUGCUUAGCUUGCUAAAUAAAUAAAUAAAUAAAGUUUGCUAUUGUUGACGGUCCUUAAGUAUCAAAUUUAAUAAUCAAAUAAACAAAGAAAAGGAUCCAAAUGAAAUCAACAUCUAGACUUAGGGUUUUAUCUGACAGAAUAAAAGAUUUUGAGUUAUCAUUUGCAUCACUAAUCUGAUGAGCUUAUCUAUUCUCUCAUACAGUUUUACCCCGAUAUUUUUCUAUUUUAUCUUAUGCAGGGGAAUGUAUGAAUAGAAGACAUCUUCCAGGAAAUUUUGUUGACAAUCCCAAAGAAUUAUUCAAGAAGACAAGAGCCAAGCUCAAGAAGAGAUCAUCAACACUUCAGCAAGAAGCUUCAUCCAAUCAAGAAGAUCACCGGAACUUGUCUUCAGAGUUCGAAGCCAUGGCGAACAAACCAAUCCGCGAGUUCUCAGCUCCCACUACGGACAACAUCCGCACUGGACCUCCUGCAGAGAUCGAUGGCAACUUUGAGCUCAAGCCUGGACUUAUCAACAUGGUGCAAUCCAACCAGUUCUGUGGGAAGGCACACGAAGAUGCUAGUGCUCAUCUACAACACUUCCUGGAGAUUUGCAACACAUUUACCAUAUCAGGAGUUUCCAAAGAUGCUAUACUACUUCGCCUCUUCCCAUUCUCACUGUUAGGAAGAGCGAAGCAGUGGUUCUACGCUACAAAGGAGAAGAAUACUACGUGGGUGUUGACGGUCCUUAAAUAUCAAAUUUAAUUAUCAAAUAAAUAAAGAAAAGGAUCCAAAUGAAAUAAAGAUCUAGACUUAGGGUUUUAUCUGACAGAAUUCCACGAGUUUUGGUGUUUGUCUAUUUCUGCAGGGGGUUAUCAGGAAAUAUGGAAGAAAGGCCCACAUGUCAGGAUUACGUAAAGAUAUUAACGUGCUGUGCAAUUAUCUUACAUCUAUAAGACUCCAGAAGCCACGAGACCGAAGCGGAGGCGAAUCGGGGCCAGAGACAGGGCGCCCGCCCUGUCCAACUGGGCGCCCGCCCUGCCCCUAAGUCCAAUCAGGACUCUGCUUUGCGGGAAGUCUCCACCGACCUAAAGGAUGAAUCUAAACCAUACAAUCUAUGUCGGUUUGAUCCAAGGGCCCAUAUUCACUUGAAGGGACUAUAAAACCAGACCCCCUGGCCCCUGGAGGAGAGAGCCUCUCAACCCUAAUUCAUUGUUCCAUCAAGGGAGAAGAAGCCUCUGAUCAAGAUUAGAGCCACCACAUCAAUUAGAUAUCUAGAUUAGCAUAGCUACAUAGGAUUAGAACUUGAAGGAGUCAAUCUUCGAUUGGUUUCCGGAUCUGUCAGGAGGAUUCUUGGUAAUUCUCUAAUUGUGCUUCUAAUUGCUUUCUAAUUAUCUUUGUUCUUCAAUAUUAUGAAUAUGACUUUGUUCUACUUCAAUAUAUUGCUUAUGACUUUGCUCUAUUUGCUUAUAUUCAAGAUUAUAUUGUUCUUAGUUUAUCAUAGUUAUGUACUUGGCUUAGUUAGAUAUGAUCUAUAUACAUGCUUAGGAUCGUAUAGCGUUUAUCCAUCGGAUCCAUGGGUAAAUGAUAGAUAUUGUGUAGGCGUGGUGCUUAUACCGUAUUUAUCUGCGAUUGUACCCAAUAUGCCAGAUCGUGGGGUAGUUCGUGAUAGUGACAGCUUCAUUGAUUCUUAUAUAGUCCCCCUCUCGUGUAUUGGGCUGGCAGAGCAACAUUAUUACAGGGGAGUGAUUGCUAUGUUUCUCAUAUUCCUUGCUAAUAUCACUAUGCAUGGGCGUAGUCUUGUCUCGCAAUGAUUGCUAAGUAUGCUUGCACUAACUAUGAUAUGCUAGACUAUAUAGUUAAGAAUAACUUAGGGAAUAUUCUUGUAGUUCGUUCUAAUACCAUGCUAAUGACUUUCUAGAGUAUCUAAUUGAGGUGCUUAUCAUAUUUAUUAUGUGGCUAGAUCAGAUUAGUUAUCCUUGUCACUAUUAUCAUUUCAUAUAUCUAUUAUGUGACACUUAUCCCUGUAUGAAGAGUUAGAUAUAAUGUUCUCAAUUAUACAUGCAAUGGUAGAUGCUCAAUCUCAUAUUCUAUUCUGUAAUCAAUAGUGAUGAUUGAUUAAUCCCUUCCCAGUGGUAAAAAUAUAAAUAACGAUACCUGGAAUACUUCCCGGUUAAAAUGCUACAUCGGUAUUAAUCUGUGCGCUUGCAGAUCCCAUUCAUUAUUUAUUUAGAAGAGCAAUUGCAUAUUUCAAUACCGCGUCUCUCAUGUCAUGCUGGGGAUGACAACUUGGCUUAAGUGGUGUGAGGGAUAGGUUUGGCAUUUUUGGCACCGUUGCUAGAUUUAGAACUUAGUCUACUUUUGGUAAUGAUGUUAAGAAUACCCAACAAGCAUUUUUUGGCGCCGUUGCCGGGGAAGGUUGAUUACCAAUCAGAAAUAGAAUAAAAGAUUUAGAGUAAUCAUUCGCAUCACUAAUAUGAUUGAGCUUAUCUAUUCUCUCAUACAGUUUUACCCCGAUAUUUUUCUAUUUUAUCUUAUGCAGGGGAAUGUAUGAAUAGAAGACAUCUUCCAGGAAAUUUUGUUGACAAUCCUGAAGCAUUAUUCAAGAAGACGAGGGCCAAGCUAAAGAAAUCAUCAACACUUCACGAAGAAGCUUCAUCCAAUCAAGAUGAUCACCAGAACUUGUCUUCAGAGUUCGAAGCCAUGGCGAACAAAUCGAUCCGCGAGUUCUCAGCUCCCACUACGGACAACAUCCGCACUGGACCUGCUGCAGAGAUCGAUGGCAACUUUGAGCUCAAGCCUGGACUUAUCAACAUGGUGCAAUCCAACCAGUUCUGUGGGAAGGCACACGAAGAUGCUAGUGCUCAUUUACAACACUUCCUGGAGAUUUGCAACACAUUCACCAUAGCAGGAGUUUCCAAAGACGCUAUACUACUUCGCCUCUUCCCAUUCUCACUGUUAGGAAGAGCGAAGCAGUGGUUCUACGCUACAAAGGAGAAGAAUACUACGUGGGCACUCUGCUCAACAAACUUCCUGGCAAAGUUCUUUCCCAUGGGCAAGACCAAUGCUCUCCGUGGGAAGAUUACAAGUUUUCAGCAACAAAAUGAUGAAUCUGUUCCAGAAGCAUGGGAGCGCUUUCAAGACUACAUCCUAGAAUGUCCCCAUCAUGGAAUGGAGAGUUGGCUAUUGAUGCAGACAUUCUAUCAUGGGCUCAGCAAUAGUGCCCGAGAGACCAUGGAUGCUGCAGCUGGAGGAGCAUUCUUAUCACUUACUAUACCACAAGCCACAGCUCUUGUGGAGAAGAUGGCGUCCAAUCAAAGCUGGAAUGAAGAGAGGACCCAGACACGCAAGAGAGGUGGAGGUAUGCAUCAGCUGAAGGAGGUAGACAUGCUGUCUGCAAAGCUAGACCUGCUCAUGAAGAAGCUGGAUGAUAAAGCUGGAGACAAGAAAGAAGUUAUGCACAUCUACGACUCUCACAUGACUUGUGAGGAGUGUGGAGACACUGGACACUCAGGCAACCACUGCCCUGAGAUGCUUGAGGAUGUGAACUACAUCAACAACAACAACUACUACAACCGUCCUCAACAAAAUCAAGGUUGGAAUCAACAGAGGCCUAACUACUCAGGUAAUUAUCAAGGUAACAAUUCUUACAACAAUAAUAAUAAUUUUCCACCUUUGAGAGAGUUAUUGUCUAAUCAAGGAAAGCUAAUGGAUAACCUAUCUAAGAAAUUGGCAUCUAAUGAUAAAAUGCUAGAAAAUAUAAAUAAUAGAAUGGAUAAUUUCUCUACUGCCAUCAAGAAUCAAAUUAGCUUUAAUAAAAUGAUUGAAUCUCAGUUAAAUCAAAUAGCUGCUGUUGUUCCUACUACUAACCCCGGUAUACCAUCACAACCGGAAGGAUUAGAAUCUGCAAAUCUUGUAGACAUAUUUGAUGUAGGUAAUUGGAGUAACCCCGUCAAUGAAUUCUCUACUGACCUUCUGCCGGUCAAGAGAGGCGAUCCAGGACGCCCCGUCAUCCCGAUCUCCAUCGACAUGGUGGACGUCCCAGAAGCACUCUGCGACUUUGGCUCCAGUGUCAACAUUAUACCCAGGGUACUCUAUGAUAAAUUCUUUACAUAUUCUUUAUUAGAGACAACCAUGUGUUUGCAGUUUGCAGAUCAGACGAUAACUUUUCCAAAAGGAAUAGUGAGGAACCUUUGUGUCCGAGUUGGUACCUUGUAUGCACCAGCAGACUUCGUAGUGGUAGAGACCGGAAAUGAUGAGAGAGCACCUAUCAUCCUAGGGAGGCCAUUUUUGAACACCACGGGAGCUAUCAUCUACGCCAGUGCUGCUAAGAUCAGUUUCUACGUCAAAGGGAAGAAGGAAACAUUUUUCUUCAAAAACAAGACUACACAAAUUCCAAAUCAAUCCAGACGUCAAUCAAGGAAGAGGACCAACAGGAGGAACAGGAACAAGCAAGUGUGGACCGAGUCAGCUCAGAUGGUCACUGUAGUCCAUGGAGGCCAAGAUCACCAACCUAAGUCACCGUGCUUGACCAAGAAGGACGACCCAGGAAUGCCAAGCAUUUACUGCUCCAUAAAUGGAUACAACUUCUACAAGACAAUUUGUGACACCGGAUCGGGCAUCAACAUAAUGGCCGCAGUCACCUAUCGGCUCUUGUUCGGGACCAUGCCACUAAGACCAACAUACAUUCAGCUCCAGAUGGCAGAUCAGACAUUUCGAGAAGUUCAAGGAAUAGUAUCUGAUGUCCCAGUCAAAAUAGACAAUCACUUUGUCUACACAGACUUUCAAGUUAUUGACAUGGGAGAAGACGAGUAUGAUCCACCCAUCAUCCUUGGAAGGCCGUUCCUCAGCACCGUUAAAGCAAUUAUCUACAUUGGAACCGGAGAAGUCCAUAUGCACUUCCCCUCAGAGAAGGUACGCCGUUAUUUUACUGACCCUAACUAUAUCGUUGAAGAAUCUAAGCAGGUCAGAAAGAGACGCAACCGCAACCAGAGGAGGCAGAUCAUCAAGGACGGAUGGGCAGACUAUGAAGGAGAAGUUGUAAGGUCAGAAGACGUAGAGUUUAAACAGAAUUAUCCAGAGGAGAUUGAAGCACCGAGUCAGGUAUGGAAAAUGAAGAUAACUAUACAAGAAGAGGAGGCGCUGCCGGAAGUACCGACUACGCCACCCAACGAACCUCAGGACGAUUAAGAAAUUGGAGAGUCCCGUUCGGAGGACUUAAAAACACCGAACGCCUUGCCAAGAGGUAAACUUGGUAGUUACCCUUUCCCUUUCAGUUAUUUUAAAUAGUUUACUUAGUUAAACAUGCUCAUACUGUCUUAAAAAGAAAAUAAAAAUGUAAAAAAUAGUAAGCCCCAUGUGAAUAGACGAGUGGCAUAAAACCCAUACGUACAUUCACUGUGGUGGCAUAAAAAUAAAAUAAAUAUUUUUCUGCUUUAUAAAAUAAAAAUAUAAAAACAUGGAGUAAUAAUUAUUAAGGAGUCUCAAGAUGAUAAAGGCUAGAUAUUUGUGCUAACACUUAAUCAGUUCCACAAGCUUUGUUGUCUAUUUGAGCUCCACAGAAUUUAAGAAUCAAGAAGACUAGCAGACGGAGGACAUUCUAAUCGCUGUCGGAAUGCUGCUUUCAAAUACACCUCUGCCACCUGCUAGCUACAUCAAGAGAAAUUACGUCAAAAUUCAGCUUGGGGGAGAGCACCCCCAUUUAUCUCGAUAAGUAUUUCUAUCUAUCUAUCUUUAUAUUUAUAUUAUUUAGAAUAUUAAUACACAUA